rnacentral:rRNA from 1 species
UACGUAGGUGGCAAGCGUUGUCCGGAAUUACUGGGCGUAAAGCGCACGUAGGCGGACAUUUAAGUCAGGGGUGAAAUCCCGGAGCUCAACUCCGGAACUGCCUUUGAUACUGGGUGUCUUGAGUGUGGAAGAGGUGAGUGGAAUUCCGAGUGUAGAGGUGAAAUUCGUAGAUAUUCGGAGGAACACCAGUGGCGAAGGCGGCUCACUGGUCCAUUACUGACGCUGAGGUGCGAAAGCGUGGGGAGCAAACAGG